AACGCUAAGAGGGGCUCUGUCCCAUAAGCCUGUGUGAGAACACAGUCAAGACAUCAACUGGUUUUAUCCCAAGACUGACCAGAUGUUCCCAAAAAUCCUAGGAAAUAAGGACCGGAUCAACCCAGCAGCACUGUAUGAAAUCGAUAGCUUCUAAGACCGCAAUCCCAGUUGGCCCAGAAGGGAGCAGGCGACAUGCCCAGGACUCUGGGUCUGAAAACGGCCAUCAUGGAGGCCUCUUCUGGGAUCCCACAAGUGCACGGGGCACCAGGAGCAGCUGGUGACUGUGGGGGGUGGUUUCUGAUGAAAUGAGUAUGAACCCCUUAUUUCAGUGACCCGCACAGCCCAGGACAAAAUAAAUUAAGAGGCUGUGA